GACGAACGCUGGCGGCGUGCUUAACACAUGCAAGUCGAACGGUGAAGCGCCUUCCUUUUUGGUGGGUGUGGAUGAGUGGCGAACGGGUGAGUAACACGUGAGUAACCUGCUCCCUUCUUCUGGAUAACCGCAUGAAAGUGUGGCUAAUACGGGAUAUUCUGGGUCUGUCGCAUGAUGGGUCUGGGAAAGAUUUUGUUUCGGUGGGGGAUGGGCCCGCGGCCUAUCAGCUUGUUGGUGGGGUGAUGGCCUACCAAGGCGGUGAGGGGUAGCCGGCCUGAGAGGGUGGGCGGCCACAGAGGUGAGGCGCGGCCGAGAAGACUACGAGGGGAGGCAGCAGUGGAGCAUAUGGCACAGGCGGAAGAAGGAUGGAGCAGCGACGCGGCGGGGAUGAUGGUCGUCUGCGGGUUGUGAUCUGCUUUCGGGGGUGAAGCAAGGUGGAAGUGUUUGUGGGUGGGUUGACGGUAGCUAAAUAAGAAGCGCCGGCUAACUACGUG
rnacentral:rRNA from 1 species